rnacentral:lncRNA from 1 species
AGCCAAUAUUGCCUUCAAAUCCCUACAAAAGAUACGAAGCAAGCCUUGAUUAAACUAAAUAUAAUGUAAAAAAAAGUAAAAGCAAAAACAGGAAUUGGGUUGCCUCCCACAAAGUGCUAAGUUUUAAGUCUUCAGCCAGACCAGAUUAUUGACAGGUGCUUCCUCAGUUGCUGGCUUAUGUAUUGGUUCAUUUAUCCUUACAAGUGG